AGGGUGUAUGAUUUUUGCUCUUCAACUAGUGUUAUCUUUCCAUAAUUCAUGGUUCUUUAUGGGUAUUAGGGAGAACAAGGUUUAACUUAAGCUCUUAGUUUAAAUUUGGUGCUUGAGGGUAUAACUAUUGCUUUAAAUUAUUAGUUUUUCACGGAUGGUUGAUUACAUUUCCCAACACCAGUGCGUAAUGUUGAAAAAAUUAGAAAUAAGGAUUCAAGGUUGAUAAAAAAUGGGGGGUGAAGUUGGUGCCAGCAGCCGCGGUUAUACCAACCCCCAUACUAGUUUAUUCGUAAGUGAGUAAAAGUUUAGUUUUAGUCCAUAUGAAAUGAAUUUAUAGUAAAAUAUAAUUUAUUAAGUUUCUUUUGAUCCUAUUAAACUUAAAUCUUUAAAAUCUGUAUAAGAGACCGGGAUUCGAUACCCCGUUAUUAAUGAUGUAUCUAUUCUUGCGGUGAGUACAAGUAGUAAUUAGCUUAAAAUCUAUGAAAUUUGGCGGUGCGCCACGUUCUUUCAGGGGAACUUGACGGUUAAAUCGAUGAUCCUCGAAGGACCUUACCUUUUUAUUCUUACUAUACCGCCGUUGACAGUAAGCUCUUCAAGGAGGAUUCUUUCUUCAAAAGAAAAUAUUUCUUUUAAAUUCAGGUAGACGUAGUGGUUAAAAAAAGGGCUUAGUUGAGUUACUGUAUUUAUUAGGAAUAACUAAAUGAAAAAUUGGUUUGAACUUGGACUUGAUAGUAAUAAUUGGUUAGAGAUAAAUUAUGAAUGGCAUAUUGGUGUGUGUACAAAUUGCCCGACGCCCCCGUAGAAGUUAUGGGGUAAGUCGUAACAUGGUAAUGCUAUUAUAAAAUGGUGUUUUUAAAAC
rnacentral:ncRNA from 1 species